GCGCGGUUAGCUCAGUGGUAGAGCAUCGGCAGGGAGUGCCGGAGUACGGGGGUUCGAAUCCCUCACCGCGCA
rnacentral:tRNA from 3 species